rnacentral:misc_RNA from 1 species
UUUUGGCACCUGCAUGGUCG